rnacentral:rRNA from 1 species
AACAGGAUUAGAUACCCUGGUAGUCCAUGCCGUAAACGAUGAGUGCUAGGUGUUGGAGGGUUUCCGCCCUUCAGUGCCGCAGCUAACGCAUUAAGCACUCCGCCUGGGGAGUACGACCGCAAGGUUGAAACUCAAAGGAAUUGACGGGGGCCCGCACAAGCGGUGGAGCAUGUGGUUUAAUUCGAAGCUACGCGAAGAACCUUACCAGGUCUUGACAUCUUGCGCUAACCUAAGAGAUUAGGCGUUCCCUUCGGGGACGCAAUGACAGGUGGUGCAUGGUCGUCGUCAGCUCGUGUCGUGAGAUGUUGGGUUAAGUCCCGCAACGAGCGCAACCCUUGUUACUAGUUGCCAGCAUUCAGUUGGGCACUCUAGUGAGACUGCCGGUGACAAACCGGAGGAAGGUGGGGACGACGUCAGAUCAUCAUGCCCCUUAUGACCUGGGCUACACACGUGCUACAAUGGCCGGUACAACGAGCAGCUAACCCGCGAGGGUGUGCAAAUCUCUUAAAGCCGGUCUCAGUUCGGACUGCAGUCUGCAACUCGACUGCACGAAGUCGGAAUCGCUAGUAAUCGCGGAUCAGCAUGCCGCGGUGAAUACGUUCCCGGGCCUUGUACACACCGCCCGUCACACCAUGGAAGUUUGCAAUGCCCAAAGUCAGUGGCCUAACCAUUUUGGAGGGAGCUGCCUAAGGCAGGGCAGAUGACUGGGGUGAAGUCGUAACAAGGUAACC